rnacentral:rRNA from 1 species
GACAGAGGAUGCAAACGUUGCUCGGAUUUACUGGGCGUAAAGCGCGCGCAGGCGGUCUUGUAAGUCGGACGUGAAAUCCCGGGGCUCAACCUCGGACGUGCGUCUGAUACUGCGAGACUGGAGUACUGGAGAGGAGAGCGGAAUUUCCGGUGGAGCGGUGAAAUGCGUAGAGAUCGGAAAGAACACCAACGGCGAAAGCACUCUGCUGGGCCGACACUGACACUGAGAGACGAAAGCUAGGGGAGCGAAUGGG